GCCCGGCUAGCUGAGUUGGUAGAGCAUGAGACUCUUAAUAUCAGGGUUGUGGGUUCGAGCCCCAUGUUGGGCG